AUACGACUGUCGGCAACGGAUAUCUAGGCUCUCGCAUCGAUGAAGAACGUAGCAAAAUGCGAUACUUGGUGUGAAUUGCAGAAUCCCGUGAAUCAUCGAGUUUUUGAACGCAAGUUGCGCCCGAAGCUAUC
rnacentral:rRNA from 1 species